CUCCCCCUCCCCUCCCUCCUUGCUGAUCGAUCCCGGAAACAACCGCCCGGGUCAGCAGCCAGCAGGAGCAUCUGCGGCUCCCGUUCACCUCUGCAGCUACACUGGCAAUAACUCAGCCAGGCAGGCUGCAGUGAGGGGGCACAUCUCAUUCUCACCAGAGGACAGCUGAUGGGCCUCCGGAAUGCCAGCACAAUACGAGGGAGGGAGCCUGCACACGUGUGAUAGGAGACUGCUGAAGAGAACAUUACAUUGGAAGGCAUCUUUUGGAUGAUAUGAUCUCCUACAUGAAUAGUGAAUACCGACCGAAGAUGCCGUCUGCCUUAGAGGAUACAGUUCUACAGAGGUUCCACAUUGUGAGAAACCAUCAUACAGUCGUCCUUCGACAAAUCCAAGAAGAUGCCCUGAUGCAGACGCAGCAGUCAUGAAGGAGCCAGGGACGUUGCAGCCAUCAGGAAAUAAAGAAACAAGCACCCAUGAGAACACCAUUGAAUGAUUACUAUCCAAAGGCAGCAAGCAGAUAUCGGCAGUGAGAGGUGACAAAGCUGUCCCUGGAGAAGGCAGCAGAUGUCACCGCAGCAUUCAUAAAAGCAGCAGCUAGAUAAGUUCUGCCAAGGCUGCGAGUGAGGAGAAGGGGCCAUCAAUAAAGCAGACAGAGGCCAUGCGGCUUAUGCAGAGUCCUGGAUCAUGGAAUCAUGACUUUGGCUCCCAUGCUGGUGCCCCCACCUUGGAAAAGAUCUCCAUGGUACCGUAUAUUCCAUUCUGAUCACAUUGAACUAAACCUGUGUAUGGUAAUAUUUUCAACAUUCUUCAAUUAUUCAUAUCUUCAUUUGACUUUAUUAUUUAUAUAGUUUUGGACAUUUGUAAUCCACACCACUGGAGAUAUAUUGUGAUUAUCCUCUACAUUUUAGUCAUUACUGGAAUUUUAGCUAAUUCAGUCAUUCACUUUCCUCAUUUAUGAGUUUACAUGCAGUGCAAUAAUCUUAUGCAGAUGGGCCUUCCAUAUAAUACAGGUUGAGUAACCCUUAUACAAAAAUGCAAAAUCCCCCAUUUUUGGAUCCCCUACUGAAAUAAUGACAUAUAUAUAUAUUAUAUAUUAUGUGUAUAUAUAGAUAUUAUGUGUGUGUGUGUGUGUGUGUGUGUGUGUGUGUGUGUGUGUGUGCGCGUGUCAUUAUCCCACUAGGGGAACCAAAAAUGUGUGAUUUUGGAUAAGGGAUACUCAACCUGUAUUAUCUCAGGACAUGUGCAUUCUAUUUGUAAUAACCAUAUGAAGGUGUGCUCUUUAUACAUAAUAAUCUUAUGGAGAUGUGCCUUUCAUAUAUAAUAAUCUUGUGGCCAUAUAAUAAUCUUGUGUAGAUGUGCCUUCCAUAUAUAAUAAUCUUCUGGAGGGGUGCAUUCCAUAUAUAAUAAUCUUGUGGAGGUAUGCCUUCCAUAUGUAAUAAUAUUGUGGAGAUGUACCUUCCAUAUAUAAUAAUAUUGUGGAGUUGUGCCAUCCAUAUGCCAUAUGUAAUAACUUUAUGGAAAUGUACUUUCAGUACAUUAAAACCUUUUGGAGGUGUAUGUUCUAAAUAUAAUUUCCACAUGGGGAUGAGAAUUCCAAAUAUAAUAACCUUAUUGUAGUCUACUUUCCAAUGGUAGUCUGGGUUCCAAAUAUAAUAACCUUAUGGUAGUGUGCGUUCCAAAAAUAAUAUUAUAAAGAUGUGUGUUCCAAAUAGAAUAACUACAAUAUCUUGAGAUGUUUGUGUCAUGUACUUGUAGUCUCAAACAGAGCCCAGGUCAUGUAAAUCAGGCUUUGGGACCAAGCUAUACUUGUGCUACCCAUAAAAGUACCAGAGCUACUGUAAGUACAGCAAGGAUAAUGUCAGUGUAUUAGCAAAGUAAAAAUCAAAUGAAACAGGAAACUUUAAGCCUAAAUACAAUAGAAAAUUGUCACAACUUUCUCUUCCAGUUGCUUCAUUAAUUUCAUUAAUUUGUAAUAAUGGCAUGCUCCUCAUGUCCGCACAUUCAUCCUUGACUUCUGCUCAAUUUAAAACACAGGCACAAAAGGUGAGUGCGAGUGCCAUUAUAUCAAGAUCGUUUAUGCAUGAAAUUGCACUGACACAUCACAUUUGCAGUGGUCAUUAUUGACACCUCAUUUGCAAAGGUUACUGACAGCAAUGACCUUUUUUGUGGCUGAGCCAAUUCUUCAGGGAGACACAAAUUGCCAUUUACACCUGGAAAUAACUGACCUUAAGCCUUGGAAAGAGAUAACUUAAUCCACCAGCUGGUAUAGUCCAGUUUAAAUCUGGGAGAACUACAGUACUUUAUGAUGAAAAAUAGAAAUAAUGUUGGUUCCAUAUUUCGCAUCUUGGAUUGUAAGUCAUAAAGCCACAAGCUGCCAAAAGUGAGCACAAGGGGUGAUAUUCACUAAACAGUGGCCUUUCAGAGCUGCCAAAGAAUUUGCCACUUCAUUUAAAGCGGCAACAGUAAUAAAUGCCAAAUCAGGCAUCUUUUGCAUUUAUUGCUAUUGCCAAUUUAAAUUCAGCGGUCAAAGCUGUCAAUUACAGGCAGAUUUGAAAACACCUUGUUUAGCAAAUAUACACAAAGACACUUUCAUAUGUUUCACAGAGAAUAUUGUAAAAUCUUAAACAAAU